AUAUUACAUUGCCGAUUUUCGCAAUCAAUAAAAUAAUGACUGGAGAUCACGAAUUCUAGAAUUUGCAAAUUUAUGGAGAAUAUUAGGCCACAAAUUAGCAAAAUAUUGCAAAUUUGAAUAAUGC